UACAGAGGGGGCGAGCGUUGUUCGGAAUUACUGGGCGUAAAGGGCGCGUAGGCGGCGCGGGCAGUCAACGGUGAAAGCUUGGGGCUCAACCCCGAGUCGGCCGUCGAUACUCCCGGGCUGGAGCACUGUAGAGGCAGGUGGAAUUCCGGGUGUAGCGGUGGAAUGCGUAGAGAUCCGGAAGAACACCGGUGGCGAAGGCGGCCUGCUGGGCAGUAGCUGACGCUGAGGCGCGACAGCGUGGGGAGCAAACAGG
rnacentral:rRNA from 1 species